UACGUAGGUGGCAAGCGUUGUCCGGAUUUACUGGGCGUAAAGAGCGCGCAGGCGGUCGUUCAAGUCGCGUGUGAAAGCCCCCGGCUCAACUGGGGAGGGUCACGCGAUACUGAUCGACUCGAAGGCAGGAGAGGGUAGUGGAAUUCCCGGUGUAGUGGUGAAAUGCGUAGAUAUUCGGAAGAACACCAGUGGCGAAGGCGACUAACUGGACAUGUAUUGACGCUGAGGUGCGAAAGCGUGGGGAGCAAACAGG
rnacentral:rRNA from 1 species